rnacentral:lncRNA from 1 species
AUGUUUGAUAGGAGGAUACUGUCUUCUAGAACAAGCCCCCUUCAGCUUCUUAAGGGCCUGGCCUGGCACAUCGGAGCAUUUCCACACUUCUGCACCUUUGCUUCUGGAGCCCCCACUGCUGAGAAUGCCUUCCCACCACCAACUCAAGCAUCAUCACUUCCUGGGAUGGUCGCUCACAAAAAGAAUUGGCUCUUCCUGUGUGUGACUGCGUUCUUCUCCUCUUUUCCAUAUCUGGGUAAUCACACAAUCGUCUCUGUUCUCUGUUGCUGCAUCAGGCCUCACUGGUUCCUAGUGCCUGUUUGCUCGUGUGUGUGUGUGUGUGUGUGUGUGUGUGUGUGUGUGUGUGUGUGUGUGUGUGUGAGAUGUCCAGGUGUGCGCAUGCACAAAUGACUGUUGUCAGAAGUGCUGUGGUGUCUGUAGCCAUGGCGGCAGUGCUGCAUUCCUGCUGUGACAAUUUCUCCCACUGAUGACUCCAUCCCCAGGGCCUUGGGAGCACUGAGAAGCUUCUGUCAAG